AUUCUGCUGAAGAGUCCAAAACCAGGACGAAAUAGAUGUCCAGUAU
rnacentral:hammerhead_ribozyme from 1 species